GGAGACUCAUCAGAUCAGGCAACAUUUUUCCAAUCUUCUAUUGUCUAGUUUUGGUGAGUCUGUUUCAAUUGUAGCCUCAGUUUCCUGUUGUUAGAUGACAGGAGUGGAACCUGGUGUGGUCUUCUGCUGCUGUAGAACAUCUUCUUCAAGGCGUUCAGAGAUGGCUGCUGGACAGUUUCCACGACUUGAACAAAAUGAUUGGCCAGAGAUACAAGCGAGCCAACGGCGUUUCUCGUGACCUGCUGCUGAAGACUUUACACCUGGAGCAGCCGCAGACUGAAGUCCGACCUGCUUCCUGGACAGCAAACCGCCGCCUCUCCCCCGGCCUCCCGUCGGCCAAUCAGCACGCUCAGAGCGCCGCCGCCAAGCGACGGCUGUCGUACGACUACAACAGGAACGUCAUGGAGUAGCCGUCGGCUGGUUGGACUGUCAGUCGGCUGAAGGACUGCGGGUCCGGACAGUUUCUGUGAUCGACUCUUUGCACUCUGAGACGACAUCGACCCUCGAAAACGGAACGACUCACUUCAGUUUACGUCGUCUAAUCCAGCUGCUGUCGAUGUGAACCGCUGGAGUGUUUUCACCUCAAAUGUUUGACACCGUGUUCAACCAAACCUCCGUCCUGAGUUCCACCCAGAGAACCACAUGUUGUACAGAUGUUGUUUGGAGAAGGAAGAGCUGAAGCUACGAGGUUCGGCCACCCUGUUGAAGGAGUCAAAUCUGCAGUUCUGUUUUAGUUUACUUUAGGUGUUACUUUACAGCAGAAGUUACUGUUUUAGCAGAAAUGGUCCCAAUCGUAGGAAUAGAAAUCGAUAAUCUGGCCCAAACUAAAAUUUUGGUUUGCAAGAAAUUCUUAAUUGUUUGUCUCCCCCUUCUGGUAGAGGAAUUACACAAGCAUUGUUGAGACAUGCUGAUCACAUUCAACUUGCAGUCGAUACGUUUCUUGUUCAGACAGUAAUCUUUCUUUGAAAUGCUUCCUCUAAACUUUUAAGCUUCUUUUUCAUCUGAAAAAACAGAAACGUUUCUCGGAGACUUCUUAGUUUUUCUGCUCUAGUCCAUAUUUUUGUAGCUUAUUCUGUUUCCGUCACUACAGAUGUUCCGCUCUUUAGCUCUGGUAAACCAAUCAAUCAGAAUCUGAAUGAUAAAUCCAGUGUAGACAUAGUUAAUGUGGUAAAUGACUAUUGUAGCUGGAAACAGCUGAUUUUUAAUGGAAUAUCUCCAUAGGGGUACAGAGGAACAUUUCCAGCAACCAUCACUCCUGUGUUCUAAUGCUACAUUGUGUUAGCUAAUGGUGUUGAAAGGCUAACUGAUGAUUAGAAAACCCUUGUGCAAUUAUGUUAGCACAUGAAUAAAAGUGAGUUUUCAUGGAAAACAUGGAAUUGCCUGGGUGACCCCAAACUUUUGAACGGUAGUGUACUUUACUUGACUUUUUGUUCAGUUAACCGCUUGUCGCAAAUUCUCAUCAUACCACUUUCAUUCAGACUGCAGCAGAGAUAGCGUAUCCAUUCCCCCAAUGCCAAUUUGUACAUAGUCAAUACGUACCUCGGAACCUUUUGCAAGCACUGGUUUCUCGUAGGACCUAAUUAUUAUAUAUCUGUUAUUAUUAUUAUAUAUCUGUUCUAUGUGUAAUAGACAAAUUAGCAAUCUCCACUUAUUUUAGCAUCAGCUGGAAAGCAAAAACACACAAAAGGUUUUUUUUUAAUUUUAAUUGUAAAUAAAUUCAGACGUCAAGGGGUUAAGGUGCAGCAAUGCAAGCUUAGUCGCCAAAAUUAUACCAUUCAUCAUAGCAGGAAACUGUAAAAACAGUACGAAGCAUCAAAUUUUCAAUUUUCCAGCAUCUUUGAACUGGAAAAACAACCAAACCUCACCUAAAAAUUAGGGCUAGCCCGAAUAGCAGUAUCUGGGCUCCGGAUAUUCGGCCCUAAUUAAGGACGAAUAUCCGAAUAUUCGGAUCGCGUGACGUCAUCCGACGGGGGGUGGGGCCUGACUCCAAAUGUUUGGAUCUCAAAAUUAAUAUUCGGAUACCACAGUAGCGACCGGAUAUUCAGAUAUUCGGGUCCAGAUAUUUCAUUGAAGUCAUGUUAUUCUGCAUUACUUAUUUAUAAUGUGGUCAAAUGGUAUUAUAUCACCUAAACCAAAAACACCAUUUAUCAGCUAGAAACUGCAAAGACGGAAACAAUCGUGGGACUUUUCAUGGAAAACGUGAAAUUGUCUGGAUGACCCCAUACUUUUGAACGGUAGUGUAGGUAUGUACUGAUGGAGGAACAUUUAAAUUUUUUAAAAUGGGAUCUUUUAGAAUAACUGCAUUUCUAAUUUUACUUCUAGUCACAGAAACCUUCGUGUGAAGUAAAUGUGACAUAAAGCUCCCAGCAAUGAGGACAAAAGGAACAAAGCAAUGAUGUAAUUCUGUAACUUCAUCAACAUGGUGGCCUGACUCUCGCUAACAUCUGGUUUUCUGCUUUCAAACACUCUGUGACAGAUUCUUCAGUUCUCCUGCAGCAGAAACUGAUCUCACGCACAUGUUAGUUCACAGAAAAACCACGUCUGUCCGAUUCUAUCAUCACACCGAGAGCAGCGUUAUUUUUCCACUACGUGACACUUGUAGUACUGCAGGAGGAAUCUAGUUGUGAUGAUUUUGAAGUUUGUUUUUUUUGUUCCUUUUAUCACGUGCUGCAUGUGCUUUCAUUGUUAACCUGCGACAGGAAAUAAAAGUGGUUUUGGUUCCUCAGACAGUGGAGUUUGUCUUCCAGUUUAGUGCCAACAGGAGCUCCGGUGAAAAGUGCCAAUGUUUGCCAGAUUACAGAAGCGACACGUUCAAGAGGUUCCUCAAACAAUAGCAUGUGAUGUUUGGCUCUUUUCCUUUUUUUUUUCCUCCUCGUCUGGCUUCCUGUUUGCCCAUUUCUCAUCUCAGCUCUACUCUGUUCUGUAGUCGAGUCCACUUCACGGGCAAAACUCGAACCACAGCUGCCAGUUAACCCUCCUGUUGUCUUCAUUUAUAGGCACCAAAAAAUAUUGUUUCCUUGUCUGAAAAAAAAUUUUCCUUGUCCUUUCCUUGUCUGAAAAAAAAUUUUGGCAAGAAAAUUCUUGUAAAUAUUUUCAAAAAAUUUGAAAAAUCUUCCAAAAAAAUCCUAAAAAUAUCUAAAAUGAUUACAUAUAUAUCAGUAAAACUUCUAAUGUUUUCUUUAAGAACAUUCACAUAAAAAUCAACCAAAAUCCAGUGAAAUUCGCUGGAUUUUGGUAGAUUUUUUUGUGAAUGGUCUUAAAGAAACAUUUUUUUUCCACCAAAAAAUGUUGAAAACUUUCCAAAAAAUGUUGAAAUGUGGACAUCAGAAGUUUCACUGUGAAAAUAUAUUUUUUUUCCAUAUUUUCAAACUUUAAAACGGGUCAGUUUGACCCGCAGGACAACAGGAGGGUUAAAACAAUACUUGACGAGGAUGUUUGUUAAGUCGAUGAUGUUCUGUAUCUUCAGUUCCACCACGCUGUUCUGCUCACCUCAGAGGGUUUGUUCCGCUCUGUCUUGUAUAUUUCACUUGUCAACUCCCAUCAUUUGUGAUGAAAUUCAGAAACAAUCCUCCCCCGUGUGUGUGUCUGUGUCUCUCUGCCGUUUGUACAAACUUCAGAUUCCUGCAAAAGAUGAAUAUUUUCUGACGAGGAAGACGGAGUUGUCGCCUCGAUGUAAUAAAAUGAUCCCGCGUGUUCCCGCU
ensembl:lncRNA